CUGGCGGCGUGCUUACACAUGCAAGUCGAACGGAAAGGCCCCUUCGGGGGUACUCGAGUGGCGAACGGGUGAGUAACACGUGGGCAAUCUGCCCUGCACUUCGGGAUAAGCCUGGGAAACUGGGUCUAAUACCGGAUAGGACCUUUAGGCGCAUGUCUUUAGGUGGAAAGCUUUUGCGGUGUGGGAUGGGCCCGCGGCCUAUCAGCUUGUUGGUGGGGUGAUGGCCUACCAAGGCGACGACGGGUAGCCGGCCUGAGAGGGUGUCCGGCCACACUGGGACUGAGAUACGGCCCAGACUCCUACGGGAGGCAGCAGUGGGGAAUAUUGCACAAUGGGCGCAAGCCUGAUGCAGCGACGCCGCGUGGGGGAUGACGGCCUUCGGGUUGUAAACCUCUUUCACCAUCGACGAAGGUCCGGGUUUUCUCGGAUUGACGGUAGGUGGAGAAGAAGCACCGGCCAACUACGUGCCAGCAGCCGCGGUAAUACGUAGGGUGCGAGCGUUGUCCGGAAUUACUGGGCGUAAAGAGCUCGUAGGUGGUUUGUCGCGUUGUUCGUGAAAUCUCACGGCUUAACUGUGAGCGUGCGGGCGAUACGGGCAGACUAGAGUACUGCAGGGGAGACUGGAAUUCCUGGUGUAGCGGUGGAAUGCGCAGAUAUCAGGAGGAACACCGGUGGCGAAGGCGGGUCUCUGGGCAGUAACUGACGCUGAGGAGCGAAAGCGUGGGGAGCGAACAGGAUUAGAUACCCUGGUAGUCCACGCCGUAAACGGUGGGUACUAGGUGUGGGUUUCCUUCUUGGGAUCCGUGCCGUAGCUAACGCAU
rnacentral:rRNA from 1 species